rnacentral:rRNA from 1 species
GCUUGUCUCAAAGAUUAAGCCAUGCAUGUCUAAGUAUAACUCUUUUACUUUGAAAACUGCGAACGGCUCAUUAUAUCAGUUAUAGUUUCUUUGAUAGUCCCUUACUACUUGGAUACCCGUAGUAAUUCUAGAGCUAAUACAUGCAUCAAUACCCAACUGUUCGCGGAAGGGUAGUAUUUAUUAGAUAAAAACCAAUGCCUCGUGCUUUUGGUGAGUCAUGAUAACUGCGCGGAUCGCAUGGCCUUGCGCCGGCGACGCUUCAUUCAAAUUUCUGCCCUAUCAACUUUCGAUGGUAAGAUAGAGGCUUACCAUGGUGUUAACGGGUAACGGGGAAUUGGGGUUCGAUUCCGGAGAGGGAGCCUGAGAAAUGGCUACCACUUCCAAGGAAGGCAGCAGG